rnacentral:lncRNA from 1 species
CGAAGAAGAACAGCUUGUUCCUCUCCGCCGCCUGCACUCCGCUCCCAAACGACUUCGACUUGUCGUUCCCCCCUUCUUUCCCUUUCCUCCGGCCGACCACUCCGGCGACGCCGCCUCGCUUUUUUAAACAAACCACCAAGGCGGCGAUCAACGCCGCCAGCAGAACUGCCGCCGCUCCGACUACGAUCGCGAUGAUGAGAUUGGUACCGCGCCUCUUCUUUCCCCCUCCGGCGGCUAGAGGAUUCGGCUUCGAAUCUGGAAUCGGCGGAUUCGAAUUCGAAUUAUUCGAAUCGGAAUCAGAGCAGCGCUUGAGGGGUUCGCCGCAGAGCAAGGCGUUACCGACGAAGGCAAUGGAAGGGAACCGCUGCAACGGCGGCGGAAUUUCGCCGGCGAGGU